UACGUAGGGUGCAAACGUUGCUCGGAAUCAUUGGGCGUAAAGCGCACGUAGGCGGUCCCAUAAGUCGGGAGUGAAAGCCCUCGGCUUAACCGAGGAAGUGCUUUCGAAACUGUGGGACUUUGAAUACUGGAGAGGGUCGCGGAAUUCCCGGUGUAGAGGUGAAAUUCGUAGAUAUCCGGAGGAACACCGGUGGCGAAGGCGGCUUCCUGGACCGACACUGACGCUGAGGCGCGAAAGACUAGGGGAGCAAACGGG
rnacentral:rRNA from 1 species